CUACGGGAUGCUGCAGUGGGGGAUAUUGCACAAUGGGCGAAAGCCUGAUGCAGCAACGCCGCGUGAAGGAAGACGGAUUUCGGUCUGUAAACUUCUAUCAGCUGGGAAGAAAAUGACGGUACCAGACUAAGAAGCCCCGGCUAACUACGUGCCAGCAGCCGCGGUAAUACAUAGGGGGCAAGCGUUAUCCGGAUUUACUGGGUGUAAAGGGUACGUAGGCGGUCGCUUAAGUCAGAUGUGAAAGCCCGAAGCUCAACUUCGGGACUGCAUUUGAAACUGGGUGACUAGAGUACAGGAGAGGAAAGCGGAAUUCCUAGUGUAGCGGUGAAAUGCGUAGAUAUUAGGAAGAACACCAGUGGCGAAGGCGGCUUUCUGGACUGUAACUGACGCUGAGGUACGAAAGCGUGGGGAGCGAACAGGAUUAGAUACCCCCGUAGUC
rnacentral:rRNA from 1 species